ACCAUGCAAUAUAUUGAAUGGAAUAUUUACAGGACUAUAACAUCUUUAUGAGUGGAGCAAAGUCUGCUUGAGGGGAAAUUUGGGAGCUACUGCCGGAAAAAUAGGUAAUGCUGUAUGCCAAGUGUUGUGUAUUAAGAAGAAUACAGAAGAUGAAGUUUAUCUUCAAGUUAUGAGAACCCAUUGAGGGGUUUUAAGCAAUGUGAUUCAAUUAGAUUAAGUUUGAUUAAAUAUGUGUUUUGGAAUGAUCACUCUAGCAGCAGUGGGGAGGAUAGAAAAAUGAGUCCAAGUCUGGAGGGGAGGCAGAACUCUGAGCAGGUGAUACAUUAUGGCUGACAUGCAAAAUCUGGUAGAAAGAUUGGACAGGGCAGUGGGCCGCCUGGAGGCAGUAUCCCAUGCCUCUGACAUGCACUGUGGGUCUGGAGACAGUGCUCCGAAAGCAGGAGCCACCCCAGAUGUGCAGGUAUUUGACUCGCUGCUUGCCGGUCCUGUGGCAGAGUACCUGCAGAUCAGUAAAGAUUGGGGGAGAUGUAUAGAAACAUGCAGGGAUGGUCCACACAGGUCUGAAUUUGGAGCAAGCUCUCUUGGUUACAGCUUCUCAGUGCCAGGAGCCAGCAGGCUUAAUAAGCUUUCUGAUUUGUUGGCACCCAUCUCAGAGCAGAUCCAAGAAGUGGUUACCUUCAGGGAGAUCUGAGGCAGCAAGUUGUUCAAUCACCUGUCAGCUGUCAGCAAAAGUAUCCAGGCCCUGGGUUGAGUGGCUGUGGCUCCCAAGCCUGGUUCCUAUGUGAAAGGAAUGAAUGAUGCUGCCAUGUUUUAUACAAACCUAGUCCUCGAGUACAAAGAUGUUGAUGAGAAGCAUGCAGACUGUGUCAAAGCUUACUUGAGUAUAUGCACAGAGCUACAGGCUUACAUUAAGUUCUGUCCCACUGGACUGGCCUGGACCAAAACGGGGCCUGUGGCAGAACUAAGUGGAUUGCCAUCUGGCCCUUCUGCUGGAUCAGGUCCCCCACCACCGCAACAGACCCUCCCCAUAGAAGUCCCCACCAUUCAGGCUCAGAUGAGUCUGCUUCCCACUCAGCACUGUUUGCACAGAUUAAUCAGGGGGAGAGCAUCACACAUGUCCUUAAACGUGUAUCUGAUGACAUGAAGACUCACAAGAACCCUGCCCUGAAGGCUCAGAGUGGUCCAGUAUGAAGUGGCCCCAAACCAUUCUCUGCACCUAAACCAGGAGUCAGCCCAUCCACCAAACCAACCACAAAGAAGGAGCCGGCCGUAUUUGAACUGGAGGUAAAGAAGUGGAGAUGGAGAGUGGAAAAUCAGGAGAAUGUUUCCAGCCUGGUGAUUGAUGACACAGAGCUGAAACAGGUGGCUUAUAUAUACAAGUGUGUGAAUAUGACAUUGCAAAUCAAGGGCAAAAUUAACUCCAUUACAGUAGAUAACUAAGAAACUUGGUCUGGUGUUUGAUGACAUGGUAGGCAUUAUGGAGAUAAUCAAUAGUAGGGAUGUCAAAGUUCAGGUAAUGGGUAAAGUGCCAACCAUUUUCAUCAACAGACAGCUGCCACAUGCCAAGCAAGAAUUCCCUGGAUUGCAAGAUAGUCAGUGCCAAAUCUUCUGAGAUGAAUUUCCUCAUUCCUGCAGAAGGCAGUGACUCUAAUAAAUUCCCAGGCCCUGAGCAGUUCAAGACCCUAUGGCAUGGGCAGAAGUUGGUCACCCACAGUGACGAAAUUGCUGGAUAAGCGAAGUGCCACUGGGUCCUUUGCCCUCUCCCUCACACCAUGGGAUAAAUCUGUAUCAAGACGGUUCUUUUCUAGAUUUCCUCUACCUUUCUGCUCUUAAACUGCUUCUCUGCUUUGAGAAGCACUGCCUUCACUGAAAUAUACCUAGAUUUGGGGCGGGAGAGCAGGUCAGUUGAUCUUUUUCCUAUCGGCUCAACCACACCGCCAGUCCAUUCUUAAGGAACCGCACACUAGGACUGGUGUGUUUAAGCUUUCAGCCUUUGUGGGCUAUUUGACCAACAAACAGCCUUUUGGGAAGAAUGAAGCAGACCCCAAGGAUUAACAGAUCAGAAUGUUCACACAAGUUCAUCUUUUUCUAACAAUGAGCAUGAAGUUAGCAGAGGCUGGUGUGAUUCUAGCUGAUUCUUCUAACCAAACUAGUUUUUCACUGUUGACAAGUGAGGCAGGGGUUGCACUGGACCAAAGGCUGAAGCUUGGCCAGCUAGCAUUCCAAGCAAAAUUGUUUCCCGUAAGUGUUCCUUUUAUUCUGCAUUCUGUCCUGGGUCUGCUUGAACCUGAGAGAGUAGGUUCUCCUGUGUGAGCCGCUGCGGCAGUGCCCCGCACCCAGGCCAGUUUAAGGAGUCUUGGCCCCUUCCUUUCACUGGGAUCCCUGCCCAGCACCUUCCUAUAGAGACGACUUAAACAAGAAAAGAAAAGAAAAACAAGAAAAGGAAAACACCAUUCCAAGGAAUCUGGAAUUCCUUCCUCCUUCCGUGCUAGGUGCCUGUCCUCCACCUUCACUGCCUCCGCUGCCCCGUCAUGCUCAACUGCUUUUGGUUUCUGUCUGGGCACCUGAACAAAGGACGAAAAUCUCCACCGUAGCCUGGUUUUAGGUCUUAUGUAAGAAUCUUGCACAGCACUGCUAAGGUAAAUUACAGUUUUUCUCUCUAGGACACUUACCAAAAUAUGCAACUUUUUUGGUGGGAAGAGAUUGUCCUGUGUC